CUUGGGUGAAAAGCUUUGGAUGAGGAGAAAAAUCCAGAGACCUACAUACGAAGACUCCUCCAAUUGCUAAAUCAUAGGAAGUUAAGAAAAAGAAACGUCACUGCGAAAGAGUUUGAAAGUUAUAAAUGUUAAGCUUCCACAACAUAACUGCCUCAAAUUAAGUGCUUGAAGAUGCAUUGACAGGAGGAAAUACAACACCAUGAUGUCUAUGCUGAUGAUGAUCAAUUCGUUUGUCACAUAAAAAGACGAAGAAUGUGAGGAGGUGGUGCAUUAGUGCAAGAGUGGAGAGAAUGAAAGUGUUGUAAGUUUUGUUAGUAGUUUGGUCGGAAAAACCAGUUAAAGUAGAGGCCAAAGUUAUGUUUUCACUUAGAUUGUUGCACCUCCAAUGCAAAUAAUGCAAAUGGGUAUGUAUAUGGGUGUGUAUGUGUCCAUAAUCCAUUGCAUAUAGUAAGUGGAAAAGCUUAAGUGAUUGACAUGAAUUCUGU